rnacentral:rRNA from 1 species
GAACUAAAAAGGAUUCCCUUAGUAAUGGCGAAUGAACAGGGAUGAGCUCAAUAUGGAAAUUGUGGCUUCUGGCUUUGAAUUGUAAUCUCAAGAUGCAUUGCUAACUGGGGCGUAGGUGAAAGCCUCUUGGAAAAGAGAAUCAUUGAGGGUGAGAAUCCUGUUUGUCAUCUACAGUCCUCCGUGUACGGCAUGCGUUCUAAGAGUCACGUUCCUCGGGAUUGGAGCGCAAACUGGGUGGUAAAUUUCAUCUUAAGCUAAAUAAGGGUUCGAGACCGAUAGCAAACAAGUACCAUGAGGGAAAGAUGAAAAGGACUUUGAAAAGAGAGUUAAAAGUGCCUGAACUUGCUGAAAGGAAAGCGGAUGGAACCAGUGUUGCUUGGCGAGAUUGUUGCGUGCGAAAGUGAUUGCUUGCUGCAUCAGCGCAAGCGGUGCUGUGGGUUUUGAUCUGGCUGUGCGCGAUGCUUCUUGCCUCGUGUGUCAUCGUCAGUGUGCUGGUGAGGACAACUCUUGGGACAUGGUAGCCUGCCCCUGGGCGUGCGAAUGUGCCUUGCAGAACUCACUGUCAUAUUGCUCCUCCACAUGUGAGGUCGUGCUGCCUUUCUUUGGCACCUGUGUUGGCGUUUGUGCCUGGCCUAGGUGUCGUUUGCUGAGCACCUUCCUGACAUAGCCAUGGUGACUAAAUGGUUCUAUUCGACCCGUCUUGAAACACGGACCAAGGAGUCUAACAUGUGUGCGAGUUCUUGGGCGGCGAAACCUACGUGCGCAAUGAAAGUGAUUACUGAGAUGCUAGCAUCAGCAGCCGACCGAUCAAUUGGGAGAGGUUUGAGCAUGAGCAUAUCUGUUAGGACCCGAAAGAUGGUGAACUAUGCUUGUGAAGGGUGAAGUCUGGGGAAACUCAGAUGGAGGCUCGUAGCGAUACUGACGUGCAAAUUCGUUCGUCAUACAUGGGUAUAGGGGCGAAAGA